AUGUUACCUGUGGACUCCAUGAUUCCUGGAGGAAGCAAUGGUGACUCAGUAACCCAGACAGAAGGCCAGGUGAUCAUCUCUGAAGGGACUUCCGUGACUGUGAACUGUUCCUAUGAAACCUCACGGUAUCCUGCCCUAUUCUGGUAUGUCCAAUACACUGGAGAAGGUCCACAGCUCCUUUUUAGAGUCUCAAAAGCCAAUGAGAAGGGCAGCAACAAAGGUUUUGAAGCCACGUACAAUAAAGAAACUUCUUCCUUCCACUUGAAGAAAGCUUCCAUUCAAGAGUCCGACUCGGCUGUGUACUACUGUGCUCUGGGUGACACAGUGGCAGAAUCUGCAGGGGGAGCUGAGCACAAACUCUGA